CAAACCUUUGAACAAAUCAUCACUAUAUCUUUUAGAAUACAAGGACAUUUCAGGAAACACAAUAAUACACAUGUUAUCUAAAGUAGUACCCAAUAUUAUAACUACACUCAAAACAACCUCAAAAAUCCCAAAAUACCCCUACUCUUACGGUUGAAAUUCAAAACCAUUCUUUGACCCAAAUUCAUUCUUAUAUAGUAUAAGGAAACAUCCUAUCAUGGUGCUAUCCUUCCUAUCGUUUUUUGCCAUCUCCGUCAUAUUCUCAUAAUUCUCUUCUUUAGACCCUCAUCUUUUCGUACAACUUUGUUGUUUAUUUUCUUUUUCGACUUUUUCUCGCUACUCUUUAAUUUCUCAGCGUUCUCUUCUUCUCUGUCUCUAACUUUCAAUUCUCACCACUUAAUUUCUUAUCCUUUUUUGCUUAUCAUUCUCCCAAGCCCUUGGAUGGCCUCCAACCUCUAUCCCGCAUGGCUAACCUACUCCAUUUCCCUUUCCUCUAUUUCUCUCUUUUUUCUUCUACCCGUCCAAUCAAAAUAAAGUAAUAUCAUAAUUUUUCAUUCGAGAUAUAUUAUAUUAUAAAAAUUUAUAGUUUUCUCUUAUACACUUAUAAGAAUUGCAUACA
rnacentral:lncRNA from 1 species